rnacentral:rRNA from 1 species
ACGGAACCCUUCGGGGGGAAGUCGACGGAAUGAGCGGCGGACGGGUGAGUAACACGUAAAGAACCUGCCCUCAGGUCUGGGAUAACCACGAGAAAUCGGGGCUAAUACCGGAUGGGUCAUCGGACCGCAUGGUCCGAGGAUGAAAGGCGCUUCGGCGUCGCCUGGGGAUGGCUUUGCGGUGCAUUAGCUAGUUGGUGGGGUAAUGGCCCACCAAGGCGACGAUGCAUAGCCGACCUGAGAGGGUGAUCGGCCACACUGGGACUGAGACACGGCCCAGACUCCUACGGGAGGCAGCAGUAGGGAAUCUUCCACAAUGGACGAAAGUCUGAUGGAGCAACGCCGCGUGAACGAUGAAGGCCUUCGGGUCGUAAAGUUCUGUUGUAAGGGAAGAACAAGUGCCGCAGGCAAUGGCGGCACCUUGACGGUACCUUGCGAGAAAGCCACGGCUAACUACGUGCCAGCAGCCGCGGUAAUACGUAGGUGGCAAGCGUUGUCCGGAAUUAUUGGGCGUAAAGCGCGCGCAGGCGGCCUCUUAAGUCUGAUGUGAAAGCCCCCGGCUCAACCGGGGAGGGCCAUUGGAAACUGGGAGGCUUGAGUAUAGGAGAGAAGAGUGGAAUUCCACGUGUAGCGGUGAAAUGCGUAGAGAUGUGGAGGAACACCAGUGGCGAAGGCGAC